rnacentral:rRNA from 1 species
GACGUAGGGUGCAAGCGUUGUCCGGAAUUAUUGGGCGUAAAGAGCUCGUAGGCGGUCUGUCGCGUCUGCUGUGAAAACUCAGGGCUUAACCCUGAGCUUGCAGUGGGUACGGGCAGACUAGAGUGCGGUAGGGGAGACUGGAAUUCCUGGUGUAGCGGUGAAAUGCGCAGAUAUCAGGAGGAACACCGGUGGCGAAGGCGGGUCUCUGGGCCGUAACUGACGCUGAGGAGCGAAAGCAUGGGGAGCGAACAGG